UAGGGAAUCUUCCACAAUGGACGAAAGUCUGAUGGAGCAACGCCGCGUGAGUGAUGAAGGGUUUACGGCUCGUAAAGCUCUGUUGGUAGUGAAGAAAGAUAGAGGUAGUAACUGGCCUUUAUUUGACGGUAAUUACUUAGAAAGUCACGGCUAACUACGUGCC
rnacentral:rRNA from 1 species